rnacentral:rRNA from 1 species
ANCCUUACCAACCCUUGNACAUGGAGGGGACCGANUCCAGAGAUGGANUUUUUCUCGUAAGAGANCCCCUCACACAGGUGCUGCAUGGCUGUCGUCAGCUCGUGUCGUGAGAUGUUCGGUUAAGUCCGGCAACGAGCGCAACCCACGUCUUUAGUUGCCAGCANUUCAGUUGGGCACUCUAAAGNAAACUGCCGGUGAUAAGCCGGAGGAAGGUGUGGAUGACGUCAAGUCCUCAUGGCCCUUACGGGUUGGGCUACACACGUGCUACAAUGGUGGUGACAAUGGGUUAAUCCCAAAAAGCCAUCUCAGUUCGGAUUGGGGUCUGCAACUCGACCCCAUGAAGUCGGAAUCGCUAGUAAUCGCGUAACAGCAUGACGCGGUGAAUACGUUCCCGGGCCUUGAACACACCGCCCGUCACACCAUGGGAAUUGGAUCUACCCGAAGGUGGUGCGCCAACCAGCAAUGGAGGCA